AUGGAGGUGGCUCUGGUGAGUGUAGCGACGGGAGCCUUGAAACCCGUCCUGGCGAAGCUGGGCGCUCUGGCGGGCGAUGAGUACAGGCGGUUCAAGGGUGUGCCUGGCGAUAUCAAGUCGCUCACCCAUGAACUUGCUGCAAUGGAUGCGUUUCUUCUGAAGAUGUCGGAGGAGGAGGACCCUGAUGUCCAGGACAAGGUGUGGAUGAAUGAGGUGCGGGAGCUCUCCUAUGACAUGGAGGACUCCAUCGACGACUUCAUGCAAAGUGUUGACAGCGAAGAUACAAAGCCAGAUGGCUUUUUGGAGAAGAUGAAGAAUUCGCUGGGGAAGUUGGGGAAGAUGAAGGCUCGUCGUCGGAUCGGCAACGAGAUCGGAGAUAUGAAGAAACAGCUCAUCGAGGUGGCCGAGAGGAAUGCAAGGUACAAGGCCCGUGAGGCCUUGUCCAAGGCCAACAAUGCAACCAUUGAUCCUAGAGCUCUUGCUAUCUUUAAGCAUGCCUCUGAGCUUGUCGGAAUUGAUGAACCCAAGGCCGAGGUAAUUAAAUUGUUGACUAAAGGUGAGUCAACGCACGAGCAAAUGAAGCUGGUCUCUAUCGUAGGAUCUGGGGGGAUGGGCAAGACAACUCUUGCAAAUCAAGUGUAUCAAGAUCUCAAAGGAGAAUUUAAAUGUCGGGCCUUCUUAUCUGUGUCAAGAAGCCCUGACAUGAUGAAUAUCAUGAGAACUAUUUUUAGUGAAGUCAGUGGGAAAGAUUAUGCUAACACUGAAGCAGGGAGUAUACAACAACUUAUUAGCAAGAUUGCCAAUUUCCUGGCAGACAAAAGGUACUUUGUUGUUAUUGACGAUAUAUGGGAUGUGAAUACAUGGCAUGUUAUUAAGCUUGCAUUUCCCAUGACUAGUUUUGGAAGUAUCAUAAUCACCACUACCCGUAUAAAUGAAGUUUCUGAAUCAUGCCGUUCAACACCAUUUAGUGGAGAUAUUUAUCGCAUAAGGCCUCUUGACAUGGUGCACUCUAGGCAGUUAUUUUACACAAGACUAUUCAAUGCCCAAGAAAAGUGCCCCUCAUACCUUGUAACAGUUUCUGAGCAUAUUUUGAAAAAAUGUGCUGGGUUGCCUUUGGCAAUCAUUGCUAUAUCCGGUUUGUUGGCUAAUAUUGAAAGGAAAGAAGGUCCAUGGAAACAAGUUGAAGAUUCAAUUGGUCGAGCACUUGAAAGAAACCCCAGUGUUGAAGGAAUGAUGAAGAUACUAUCACUUAGUUACUUUGAACUGCCUGCUCAUCUGAAAUCUUGUCUCUUAUGUUUGAGUAUAUUCCCUGAAGAUUCUGUUAUUGAGAAGAAAGUUUUGAUAAAUAGGUGGAUUGCUGAAAGAUUAAUUCAUACAGAAGCUGGAUAUAGUACAUCAUAUGAAUUUGGAGAAAGGUGUUUUAAUGAGCUAAUAAAUAGGAGUUUGAUCCAACCUGGGAAAUUGGGUAACUAUGAUAGGGUAAAGAGCUGUCGACUUCAUGACACAAUUCUUGAUUUCAUCAUAUCCAGAUCCAUCGAAGAAAAUUUUGUUACUUUGGUGGGUGUUCCUAGUUUAUCUGUUGGGACACACAACAAAGUUCGUCGGCUCUCCCUGCAAGCCAGUAAGCAAAAAGAACUGAUAGUGCCAAGAGGCUUGGUGUUGUCUCAUGUCCGAUCACUUGAUGUGUUUGGGGAAUCUGUGAAAAUUCCUUCUAUGGAUAAGUUUAGGCAUUUGCGUUUUCUGGACUUUGAAUAUUGCCAACAGCUGGAGAACCGUCAUCUUGAAAAUAUAGGGAUGUUGUUUCAGCUGAGGUACCUGAGCCUUCAAGGGGUGAAGAAAGUAAGCAAGCUUCCAGAACAAAUCGGACGCCUAUGGUGCUUAGAGAUACUAGACUUAAGAGGCACCUCUGUUUGUGAGUUACCAGCAUCUAUUGUCAAUCUCAAGAGACUGGUGCACCUAUUGGUAAACCAGAAUGUUACACUUCCUUGUGGAAUUUUCAAGCUGCAAGCACUGGAGAAAUUGAAGCUUGUCAGUGUCUAUAGCCAGUCAUUUAACUUCCUGCAAGAAUUUGAGCAGCAGCAGAGCCUUAAGGUAUUGACCAUUGAUUUUGAGGAUUAUAAUUCUGCUGACCGAGUGAACGCUGAAAAUGAGACCAAGAAAACUAUUAUUGUCACUUCCCUUAUAAACCUAGGGAACCUUCUAUCUCUAACUGUUUGGGAUGGCCCUGAAUUUGUAAGGGAGUCUUUGUGCCCUAUGCCACUUAGCCUCCAGAAGCUGAAAGUCUGGUGUUCUAGUAUUCCCCAUGUUCCAAAUUGGGUCAGCUCCCUUGUCAACCUCCAGGAGUUACACCUUGAAUUGUUCAGAGCUGAGCAGAAAGAUUUAUAUAUCCUUGGAGGCUUACCUGUUCUGCGUUGUCUGAUUCUGAGAAUUGUUGAUCGUGAAAUUCGAAAUACCUCAUUAACAGAAGAGCCUGAAGUUACAAGGGUCAUAGUCUGUGGUGAAGUUGGAUUCCAAUGCUUGAGGAUAUUUAAUUAUGAUAGUGCGCGUGCUGUGAUGAAUUUGACGUUUGCGGCUGGGGGCAUGCCCAAGGUAGAUGACCUCAGGAUAGAAUUUAACGCAGCAAAAACUGAGUCUCUGGGUACUAGCGGUGCUUUUGAUAUCGGAAUAGAAAAUCUCCCCAGCCUCGUUCAAAUCAGAUGUAAAGUAUGGGGAUACGGGGUCCACAGCAGCAGAGUUGAGGCUGCCAUUCGGGAAGCAGCCAACGCACAUCCCAACCGCCCUACUCUAUCCUUCCGCUUAUAUUGA
rnacentral:rRNA from 1 species